CAAAAGUAGUAUUCAUUAUAUGGAAUGUGGCGAAGUAUGGUCUACAGUUGCUAGAAUCAUCUUUAUAUGAAGAGUAUUCACUUUU
rnacentral:pre_miRNA from 1 species